CGAAUAGGAACAGCUCCGGACUACAGCUCCCAGCGUGAGCGACGCAGAAGACGGGUGAUUUCUGCAUUUCCAUCUGAGGUACCGGGUUCAUCUCACUAGGGAGUGCCAGACAGUGGGCGCAGGUUUGAUCUCAGUUACUCCCUUACUUGAAGAAGGCUUCGAUGAUUCCUCAUGGAGAAAUCCCAGAUACUUCUGCACAUGAUUCAGAGGUCCCUUACAACUGGCUUCAGCCUGCCUUCCAAGCCCUGUCUCUCGCCUCUCCCUUCCUUCACACUGUGCUUCAGCGAGGUAGGAAUGCUUGUGAUUCACCUUCCAGGUCAAGAUGAUUGGCCCCUCGGCCUUCACAUAUGCUGUUCCCUCUGCUGUUCCCCAUGCUGCCCCCAGGGAGCUGCCCAUCACCCGCCAGGACCUUCCUGCCCUGGGUGCACCCAUAGUGCUUUGUGCCUUUCUCUUUCUUGCCACUUGCCACAUUUUACUGUAGUUAUUUGUUUAUAAUUACAAAUAUAAACC
rnacentral:lncRNA from 1 species